rnacentral:misc_RNA from 1 species
GUUGGCAAGUGCCUUUGCUAGCAUCUCUUGAUAUAUCUCUGAACCAGCGGGACCAGAAAGUAGAAUUCGUGGAUUCACCGUAUUUAAUUCUGAGGUAUACUUUGAAUGUUCUUUAUGCUUCAAGUGUAUGAAAGAAGCAGCAAUAAGCACAUUCUUCGUAUUCUCACUCAAAUAGUAUGGAAAGUUGUCAAAUGAAACUUCUAA